GCCAGGUCAUACACAUCUCUGACACUGUUGGGCCUGGCAGAGGGGUCGACCAAUGGGACAAAGCCGCUGGAUGGCUUGUAACGUGUGGAAUGCUAUCAAUUCCAGGCAGGUGUUUCCCGGAGUGGUUUGUGUCUGAUGCUCCAGCCCCUGUUCCUGGUCUAACUCAAGCUUGACUAUGUCAAUCCACGCUGCCUUCUGCACCAUGCAGUGAAAGCUGCUGGCUUGCUACCCAGAUAACUUAAGUUUCUCUGUCUCUGUCAGUUCUUACACAUCCUAACUGCUGUGUCUGUUUAGUCUGUAGAGAAAGUAAAGUGUGACUCCUGACUGGGUUUUUAUUACUUUGGAUCUGCAGCAUGA
rnacentral:lncRNA from 1 species